GUCAGUGUAACCGAAGUGUCUAGGCAGGAGAGCAAUGCAAAAAUAGACCUCCUGGCACAGGAGUUUUUGAUACACCAAUCAGCUCACACACAUAAAAAAUCUGGGAGCGAUGUCAAAGUGAGGUGGACAUUGGCUUGGUUUGCAUGUGUUUUCUUUCCACUUAGGAUUUUGUCCUACAGCAGCUGAACAGAAAGCAUUCCAAUCGAGCUGAACCAAACAAGCCAUGAAGGUGCAGAACGUCCAGGACGCCGGUCACUCCAUCUUCUGGGCUCAGUGAUUUAUGAUGGCAGCAACAAAUCACAGGUUCUGAAGCAAUAAAAGGACUACAUUAAAAAGUUCUACUCAUCUGCAACAUCUUCUGGUGAUGGAGAAGUGACAUUGUUGAAAAAACAUAAAGCUUUUCAAUAGCACUCACAAAGCAAAUGACUAAGCAAUUGGCAUGUCCUAUACUAUGGAAUCGAACAGAUCCUGACAUUAAAAUCAAGUUUUGCAGCAUACUGACAAGUUUGAAGCCAGUCAUCCUCCUUUGCUGUGAGAUUCAUCAGCUGAAAUGCUUCUACUCUAUCUUGAAGCGAACCACACAGAGCGUUCCGCAAAGAAGAUUGCUGUACUCCAGGCUUUAAGAUUUUUGUUGGUGGCAUUGGCCAAUCUACCCAUUUUUUUCUCAGCUUUAUUGAGAUAUAAUUGACAUGUAACACUGUGCCCUGGCAACCACCAUUCUACUCUCUGUGUCUAUGAGUCCAGCUUUUCUAGAUUCCAGGCACGUGCUGUAGUGAUGAAGGAGGAAGGGAAGUGGAAAGGAAGACGGAAAAGAUAAGGGAGAGGACCACACUGUCAGUCCAGAGGCGUUUCAUAGCAAUUACAAAGCUGAAAGAUUUAUCUCUUGUUUUCGUUUCUGUUCAUUUGUUUGUUUAUAGCUAAAACCACAACAAGGACAACGCGUGGAAGUUAGUUUCCUGCCCCGUGAGUUUUGUCAACAUGAAAUCCUAAAGUAUUUUCACAGUGUAAAUAAGGAAGCUUACUUUCACGGUACUUGAGAGGCAUGGACCACAUCUGCCAAUCGUGGGCCAAACCCAUCUUUUAUUUCGUCGUGUGGAGAGUCACAUCAGUUUGACAUUUCCCCUCUCCUUUCCUUGUCUCUCCUCAACCGGAGUUCCGUGCUUGCACCAGAGCAGAAAGUGUCUAGAGCUGUUUGACUGUGUAGUUAGCAGUCCCCUCUCCCCGCUCCACAGGCACACAUCUUCAUAAACAGGGACUCAAUCACAAUAUCAACAUGGCAUUGAAUCCUGGUUAUUUCUUGAGAGCCUCUGCUUGGCAUAGACUGCAUCCUGUCCUAGGGUCCACAUUGACUUAUGUUCUAAAAGGAAAACUUGCAUUUCUAGUCUGUGUAACCAAAAAAACUAUUUUCAAGCCUUAAGUGUGUUACUGUCAUUAUAUGGAAGAAUGGUUUAAACAUUUUGACCCAAAUGUAGGGUUAAAUUUUGACCUCUUUUAACCUUAGACCUGAGUUAAUAGCACUUUUAUACUAACUUGAAAUAAUCUAGGCUGGUCAAACUUGCAUAUUAAAUAUGUCUGUAUUAUUCUUAAAUAUUGUUUGAAAUGUAAACGAAUGUGGUUUCAGGAAGUUGGAAAUAUUCCAGCCUAUCAAACCCACCAAAGCAAUUUCCAGGCUAAUUGUUCCUGGCUUUAGUUUCCCAGAAUUAUACGUAUAAUUUUCCAGAGUUUAGCUCUUCUAAAGACAGUGAUUGUGUUUUGUUUAGUCCCCGUACAAACUUGGUGGGUCGAGUAAGAAGAAAUUUACAUUCACAUGAAGUUCAGUCAGGGGAUUUGGAAUGAUGUCUUUGGAUGCUAGUAAACUAGCACUUGGUUUGAAAACUGGUAAAUAAAGGGAGAGAAUCAUGAAGAUAUCUUGCUUUUCUAUCUAAGCUAAACUGGACUAAGUAUGAAAAGGGGCAGUUUCUCUUUAUGGAAAUAGUUAAUAGAUGAAGAAGGAUUCAUGAAAAGUCACCAUUUUGCUCGCCUAGGGAACUGAUGGAUUUGGACAUUAGACUAUUGCUGAAAGAGAGGCCGCCAGACAAUAUGUGCCUCUGACCGGAAGAUUAUACCAUCCAUCAUGCAGUCUUAGCAAAAUAUCAAACCUAAACUGGAUGAAGUCUGCAUGUUCAAGCACCAAUUUACAGGAAACACAGCAAAACAAGAAUAUGCUAAAUGACUUUAUGGGAUAAAACAAGCAAUCCCAGACUGUAGGAAAAUGUAAAGGAUAAAUAAUAGGGUUUCCUCAACAAAUAUAUUGGAGAGAGAGAGAGAGAAGAGAGAGAAUAUGUAGGUUAAAAGAGACAAAAAGACAGCUCCUAUUUGCAGUGUGUAGACCUCAUUUAGACCCUGAUUCAAACUACAAAAAAAGUGAAAUAAAAAUGAAACGUGUUUGGAAUUUCAACAAUGACUGACAGGUGAGGAUAUUGAGGAAAUAACGUUAAUUUUAAAAGAUGUAAUCAUUUCAAGUGGUUAUUUUUACAAGAAAAAGAGACUUCAUUUUUAAGAGAGAGAAAUUGAUGUACAUAGACGAAACAAUUUAGUUGCUGAGAUUUGCUUCAAAAUCGUAUGUGGAGUAGGAAGUGGGUAGGAGUGCAAAUAAAAUACGAUCAGCCUUGAGUUUUUUGGGGUAGAACUGGCUGAUAGCUACACAGAUUUUUAACAUCAUAUUUUUUUUUCUACCUGUUUAAAUGUUCCAUUAAAAAUAUUUGAUUAAAAACAUGUUGAGCCAAGGGUUCUGGGAGAAAUGAUGUAGCCAUUUAUAUAAUAAAAGAAACCAUUCUAUCUGAUAUUGCUUCCACAUUCUAUAGCUUAAAGUAACUCCCUAGCAUUAAAAAGUUAUUGUUAAUCUCCUCAUUGCAUAUGUGGCCAUGAUCCUUCUCCUAAAUAACUUGCCCACAACAGCAAAGUUCAAAGCCAGUUUUUCUUUUUACUUUACUCAGUAGCAUGUUUUGCAUUUGCUUCCCUGAGACCAUAUUUGCAAAGUUUUUAUUAAUUUGCUUAUUCAUAAAACAUUUACUGUGUUCCUUUUGUAUACUACAGACUGUGUUAGGUGUUAGGUUUUCAAUGAUAAGUAAGAAUUAAAUCUCCACUUGAGGGAGAGAUAGGCAAUAGAGAAACCAAACAUUGCAAAGGAAUUAGUAGGCGCUGUGAUAAAGGCUAGCAGAGGGUGGUAUGGCAACCUGGAAGGAGCUACAGAGUGUAGAUUUAGAGGGAUCUUUUUAUCAGUGUGACGCCUCUUCUGAUCACAAAUGACUUAGUGUGUGCUUGUUUGUGUAAGUACAAACAAGACAUUCCAAGCAAAGAAAGCAGCAUGUAUAGAGACUGUGGCUGGGUCAGAAAAGAGUUGUUUUUCUAGGCAUGUUCAAGGAAGCAGUUCGACAAGAGCAGGGCAAAUAAAAGGCAGUGGUGACAAACUGGAGAUGGAAAGUCAUAGAGCAGGUCAUGAAAGGCAUCCAUUUUCUCAGAUGAAGAAAACAGAAAGAGGAACAGGUUCGACCGGAGGCUGAUCAGCUCAUUGUAGGAUAUGUUGAGUCUGAGGUGCUUAGGGAGAUCCAUGGGAGAUGUUAGAUGGAUUUUACAGGGUGAAAGACUGGAAGAAAGAUCUAAUCUGAAGAUACAUUAAGAGAAUUGGUAGCAUAUAUAAAUGGAAGUGUGGUUUUAGAGUUAAUAACAUACAGAGAGUUGAGAUAAGAUUUGGAUGCCUAGGAACAGAGGAGUGUGAUUAAUAAGGGGAAUGGAUGCGGGAAGAAGAAUGAACUGAAGGCGUAUUUUGCUGCAUCUAUAUUUGAAUUCAGCUGACCCUGGCAUGAGCAUUGUGCUCUCUGUUUACAGUGGGCUUUUGCAAAUGUGUACACUCUGAAAAAACUCUGCUCGGGAGGGUACAAGGGAAAUUGUAAUGUUGAGGCCAAAGUGUCUGGAAAUAAACCAUUGCUACCCUGGAUUAGCUCUGUCUGCUCAUGCGUAAGACAUUACUGCUUGGUUCUGGGGGUAUGGCUUGAUUUGGCUCAUCUGAGUCUGGAGUAAUUGGCACUUGAUUAAUACAUAAUAAUAAAUACAAUGAAUACAUUGCAUAAUAUAAUGCUGACUAUAGAUAUAGUUUGGCAAACUGAUUUUCAAUUAUAUUGCUUCUCAGUGAAUUUUAGGAAGAAUUAUUAGGGGAUAGUAUUAAGUAUUGUGGAAGACAUUUGAGUAUAUUCAGGUCUCUAAGUUUGUCAAAUUCCAUUUUAUAUUUUAUUUUAACGGCUCAUUUGACAGCAGUUCCUAAAUUCAAAAUUAAUCAUAUUGAAAAAAAAAAAGGUUGUUUUUGAAAGUAAAAGGCAGUAUUUACAAAAUGGAGAUGUCUUACAUGCUCAGCCAUUUUCUGUUCUCUCCUCCUCAGCCAUUAUGGGAGAGGGUUCUUUUAGCUUAAUAACAUAUGCUAAGAGGGAUGAUCAAUAAUUAGCAAAAGGAAAUUUGCUUCCCUCUGAAGGGUCUGAGCCAAAUUCUAAGGAAUUUGAAUUCUAUAUAAGCCAAAUUCUAAGGAAGACUAUAGAAGUUAAUGGACUGGAAGGAUUGAUCCUUGCCUUAACAGAAUGAUACAAACCAGCCAAGCUCUUCCAGAAUUUUUAGGAAAAAGGAUGAAAUUGCGGAUACAAACUCAGUCAUUUCAGUACAUCACAGAGAUUACAAAGUUGAGAUGAGUGGGGGAAAUAGCAGCUCAUUGACUCACUGACUCUCAUAUUACCUAAUAAGUGCUUUUCUCAACAUGAGAAUACAAAAAUGAAAGUUCUGCCUCUUAUGAAAAUAAAAAGACGGCUAUAAUAAUAAACAAUUACAAAAUGUUCAUAUUUUGAUACACAGAUUUAUGGUCUGUCAAUCAGUUAUCACAGGCUUCAAAUAUUCUUUUUUGAAAUGGUGAUGUCAUUAACCAAUCAAAAAUGCCUAAGCUGAGGAGAUCUAGUUUUCCCAGCACCUUUUGUUCAAGAGACUGUGCUUUACACGUUGCAUCACCUUGGCGCCAUUGUGAAAGAUCAUUCUACCAUGUACGCGUGGGUUUACUCCUGAGCACUCUAUUCUGUUCCGUUGGUCCAUAUGUCCAUCUUUGUGCCAGUACCAUACUGUUCUGAUUACUGUAGCUUUGUAAUAUGCAUUGGGGUCAAAAUCUGUGAGGUCUGUUUGUUCUUUCUCGAGACUGUUUUGGCUAUUUGGAGUCCUUUGUGGUUCCACAUGAAUUUUAAGGGUUUUUUUCCUAAUUUUGCAAAAAAUGCAAUUAGCAUUUUGAUACAGAUUGUAUUGAACUGUAGAUCCUUUUAGAUAGUAUGAACAUUUUAACAAUUUUGUGUCUUCCAAUAAAUGAAC
ensembl:lncRNA